rnacentral:rRNA from 1 species
AUUGAACGCUGGCGGCAUGCUUUACACAUGCAAGUCGAACGGCAGCGGGGUAGUGCUUGCACUACUGCCGGCGAGUGGCGAACGGGUGAGUAAUAUAUCGGAACGUACCGAGUAAUGGGGGAUAACCAAUCGAAAGAUUGGCUAAUACCGCAUACGUCCUGAGGGAGAAAGCGGGGGAUCGCAAGACCUUGCGUUAUUCGAGCGGCCGAUAACUGAUUAGCUAGUUGGUGGGGUAAAGGCCUACCAAGGCGACGAUCAGUAGCGGGUCUGAGAGGACGAUCCGCCACACUGGGACUGAGACACGGCCCAGACUCCUACGGGAGGCAGCAGUGGGGAAUUUUGGACAAUGGGGGCAACCCUGAUCCAGCCAUGCCGCGUGUAUGAAGAAGGCCUUCGGGUUGUAAAGUACUUUUGUUAGGGAAGAAAAGGGAAGUGCUAAUACCACUUUUUGCUGACG